ACCUUCGUGGUGUAGUGGUCAGCACACUUGGCGCGUAUUUGGAGAGGUUCGUGGUUCGAGUCCCGGCGAGGGCA
rnacentral:tRNA from 1 species